AGUGAUUCCUCGUCAAUUAAUGUAAAAACAUGUAUCCGAAUGCGCACUCGCUGGUUUCUCUACUGAUCAUCCCAAAGAAUAUAUCU
ensembl:ncRNA Y11D7A.21 ncRNA